rnacentral:rRNA from 1 species
GGAUAACCUACCGAAAGUGGGCUAAUACCGGAUAUGACCACGGGAGUCUCGGCUCCUGCGGUGAAAGGUGGCCUCUGCUUGCAAGCUACCACUCGAGGACGGGCCUGCGCGCCAUUAGCUUGUUGGUGGGGUAAUGGCCCACCAAGGCUAUGAUGGCUAGCUGGUCUGAGAGGAUGGCCAGCCACACUGGGACUGAAACACGGCCCAGACUCCUACGGGAGGCAGCAGUGGGGGAUAUUGCGCAAUGGGCGAAAGCCUGACGCAGCGACGCCGCGUGGGUGAUGAAGGCCUUCGGGUCGUAAAGCCCUGUCGAGGGGAACGAAACGGUGCCGACCUAACACGUCGGUGCCCUGACGGUACCCCUAAAGGAAGCACCGGCUAACUCCGUGCCAGCAGCCGCGGUAA